GAUGAACGCUGGCGGCGUGCCUAAUACAUGCAAGUCGAACGAAACUUCUGUAUCACCGAGUGCUUGCACUCACCGAGAAAGAGUUGAGUGGCGAACGGGUGAGUAACACGUGUGCAACCUGCCCUAAAGAGGGGGAUAACACGCGGAUACAGGAUCUAAUACCGCAUAACCAUAGUUACAGCAUGGGAACUAUGUAAAAGGUGUCUAUACUUCCCCUUUUGGCUGGGCCGGCGGCGGAUUAGCUAGUUGGUAGGGUAAAGGCUUACCAAGGCAAUGAUGCGUAGCCGAAUUGAGAGGUUGAUCGGCCACAUUGGGACUGAGACACGGCCCAAACUCCUACGGGAGGCAGCAGUAGGGAAUAUUCCACAAUGGGCGAAAGCCUGAUGGAGCAACGCCGCGUGGGUGAAGAAGGUCUUCGGAUCGUAAAACCCUGUUGUUAGGGAAGAAAGUGCGUGAGAGUAACUGUUCACGUUUCGACGGUAUCUAAACAGAAAGCCACUGCUAACUACGUG
rnacentral:rRNA from 1 species